GAUGAACGCUGGCGGCGUGCCUAAUACAUGCAAGUCGAACGGAGCGGGGACGGGUGAGUAACACGUGGAUAACCUCCUAUAGAGCUGGGAUAACUUCGGGAACCCUAAGCUAACCCCAUUACUUAUAGAUUGGUCCUGGCUGCAUUAGCUAGUUGGUAAGGUAACGGCUUACCAAGGCAACGAUGCAUAGCCGACCUGAGAGGGUGACCGGCCACACUGGAACUGAGACACGGUCCAGACUCCUACGGGAGGCAGCAGUAGGGAAUCUUCCGCAAUGGGCGAAAGCCUGACAGAGCAAUGCCGCGUGAGUGAUGAAGGUCUUCGGAUUGUAAAACUCUGUUAUUAGGGAAGCGGUACCUAAUCAGAAAGCCACGGCUAACUACGUGCCAGCAGCCGCGGUAAUUC
rnacentral:rRNA from 1 species